AGUGAACGCUGGCGGUAGGCCUAACACAUGCAAGUCGAACGGCAGCACAGUAAGAGCUUGCUCUUACGGGUGGCGAGUGGCGGACGGGUGAGGAAUACAUCGGAAUCUACUUUUUCGUGGGGGAUAACGUAGGGAAACUUACGCUAAUACCGCAUACGACCUACGGGUGAAAGCAGGGGAUCUUCGGACCUUGCGCGAUUGAAUGAGCCGAUGUCGGAUUAGCUAGUUGGCGGGGUAAAUGCCCACCAAGGCGACGAUCCGUAGCUGGUCUGAGAGGAUGAUCAGCGACACUGGAACUGAGACACGGUCCAGACUCCUACGGGAGGCAGCAGUGGGGAAUAUUGGACAAUGGGCGCGAGCCUGAUCCAGCCAUACCGCGUGGGUGAAGAAGGCCUUCGGGUUGUAAAGCCCUUUUGUUGGGAAAGAAAAGCAGCAGGUUAAUACCCCGCUGUUCUGACGGUACCCAAAGAAUAAGCACCGGCUAACUUCGUG
rnacentral:rRNA from 1 species